rnacentral:rRNA from 1 species
GGAAGUAAAAGUCGUAACAAGGUUUCCGUAGGUGAACCUGCGGAAGGAUCAUUACUGAUUUAGCGAGCCGAGCGUUAGCGAGGUUUUGCGAUCAACUUGUAUUUAAAACCCACUCUUCAAUGUAUAAAAUUUGUAUUAAUGAUAAAUUAAAAGAUCACUUUCAACAACGGAUCUCUUGGCUCUCGCAUCGAUGAAGAACGUAGCGAAGUGCGAUAAGUAAUGUGAAUUGCAGUAUUCCGUGAAUCAUCGAACCUUUGAACGCAUAUUGCACUUUCUGGUAUUCCGGAAAGUAUGCUUGUUUGAGGGUCAGUUAAAUAAAAAUCGGUGUUGUUGCCGCUUUCCGUGGUGACGCGUCGGAAUUGAGUCGUCUUCGGUUAAGUGACUUAAAAUUUUAUAUGAUUUUCGAACGUAUUUAAAUUUAUUUGAACGUUUGAUAUCGAAUGCUUAUUAGGUUCGGUCAUCCUCAUGACUCGCGCCUAUAAUUUUUCAUCAAAAUGACCUCAAAUCAGGUAAGAGUACCCGCUGAACUCAAGCAUAUCAAUAAGCGGAGGA